rnacentral:rRNA from 1 species
CCUACGAGAGGCAGCAGUGGGGAAUAUUGCACAAUGGGGGAAACCCUGAUGCAGCGACGCCGCGGGAAGGAAGAAGUAUUUCGGUAUGUAACCUUCUAUCAGCAGGGAAGAAAAUGACGGUACCUGACUAAGAAGCACUGGCUAACUCCGUGCCAGCAGCCGCGGUAAUACGUAGGGGGCAAGCGUUAUCCGGAUUUACUGGGGGUAAAGGGAGCGUAGGCGGUGCAGCAAGUCAGAAGCGAAAGCCCGGGGCUCAACGCCGGGACUGCUUUUGAAACUGUUGAACUUGAUUGCAGGAGAGGUAAGUGGAAUUCCUGGUGUAGCGGUGAAAUGCGUAGAUAUUAGGAGGAACACCAGUGGCGAAGGCGGCUUACUGGACUGUAAAUGACGCUGAGGAUCGAAAGCGUGGGGAGCAAACAGGAUUAGAUACCCUGGUAGUC